GGCGACACGCGGGAGGCCGAGCCGGUGCCUGCGCGAUCCCGACCCCGCGGGAGCCGCUCUCGGGGUCAGGGCGCGGGGCCUACCGAGCGCGUGCGGGGUGGGCCUGGAUCCCGGACCCGACCCCGCUGUGACCGGCGCAGAGACACGGGGCGCAGCUGAAAUGAGCUUCACGAAGUUGUCGUUGAGCGUGAUGCCACCCUUAGCAUCAAAGAUAGACAAAUGAGUAUCGCCAACAAAGUCCGUGGACACGACCCGGCCAUCAGUAUUUCAAAGAUAAGCGUGGGUCGUAGAGCAGGGACCUCCAGGAGUUCAGGCUCGUGGGCACACUGUCAUCCAUUCAUCUACAGUAUCUGAUGGAGCCGCCCUCUGUCCAGCUGCUGGGGACAGGGUAUGAGGAAGACAAAUGGGGGCUAUUCAGGUAGGGGACUGGCCAAAGGAUACAGACUGCAAACAGCCUCUGAUGCUGCACCAACAGACAUCUCUUCCGGGGAAAAAUGCACGUGGAAUGUGGCAGCGAGAGGCCCUCCCUGCGGGGAGGCAGUGAGUCUGGCUCUGGACGAUUAGGAGGAUCUGGUCAACUCCAGCCCUCAGCAGGGUCUCAGGUGGAAAGAACUGCAGCACAAAGGCCCUGGGGGUUUGGCCCUAGCAUGGUGGAAGGCCACAGGAAGGUUUUCAGCUCUGGGGGUGAUGUGAUCUGAUUUCUUUAAGAGAUCCUGGCAGCUGUGUGAGGGUGGACCUUCAGGAGCUAAAGCAGGGAGACAGCACCAAGGUGGACGGACAGAACUGGCAGUACUGGGAACAAAGAGAUGUGAUACCCAUUCCUCACAGGGAAGGCAUCUGGCUGUGGCCGGCCCCGAGCAAGUGUUGAGAAAUGGGAGCCCUUGUCUUGUUCGCUAAGCAUAUAUCGAGUACCUGCUAUGUGCCAGGCCCUGGGAAGAUGGCUGGAGCUAUGGAAGUGAAAAACGAGGCCCAAAGUCUCUGCUGUCUUGGAGUGUACAUGCUAGCAAGGCCCACAGUGACUGUGAAAUGACACUUCAGGUAAGGAAAAGGGCCACAAAAAGAACAUCUCUCGGAGAUGAGAGGUUGAAGUAGCGACUUGGAGAAGGUGAGGACAGACUAUGUGGCCACCUGAGGGAAAAGCUUUCCAGACCAAAGGGGCAGCAAGUGCAAAGACUCUGAGCUCCUGCAACAGGGAUCCUGCUGCCAGAGGCCAGGCAAGUCCCUGAAAACACACAGCACAUCCAGAGAGCAGCUCCCAGGGGUCUGAAGCCUUGAGGCGGCCCUGGGGCUAGCAGCGGCUAGUGGUUUAUAUUGGAAAGGAUGGGCAGAAUGAAAGCAUUGCUGAGACAUGAAGAAAUGCUCCAGUUAGUAACUGAGGAGAGGCCGGGCCCUAAAGCUUCAGGAAUGGCUCAAGGGCCGGGGCGACUCACCCAUUGAUGCCAACA